GAUCCUGGCUUAGGAUAAACGCUGGCGGCGUGCCUAACACAUGCAAGUCGAACGAAGUUUGUUCUACCCGACGGAUUAUCUUCGGAUAAGAAGUCAUUGAAACGCUUAGGUGGCGGACGGGUGAGUAACGCGUGGGCAACCUGCCCUGCACAGGGGGAUAGCAGUUGGAAACGACUGGUAAUACCGCAUACAUUGCAUUUGCCGCAUGACAGAUGCAAGAAAACGUUUAGUGGUGCAGGAUGGGCCCGCGUCCGAUUAGUUAGUUGGUGGGGUAACGGCCUACCAAGACGACGAUCGGUAGCCGACCUGAGAGGGCGGACGGCCACAUUGGGACUGAGACACGGCCCAGACUCCUACGGGAGGCAGCAGUGGGGAAUAUUGCACAAUGGGGGAAACCCUGAUGCAAGCGACGCCGCGUGAGUGAAGAAGUAUUUCGGUAUGUAAAGCUCUAUCAGCAGGGAAGAUAAUGACGGUACCUGACUAAGAAGCCCCGGCUAAAUACGUGCCAGCCGCCGC
rnacentral:rRNA from 1 species